UGGAAGAUCUGGUGUUUUGUCUGAUUCGACACCAAGACUGAAAUCAGCUCCUAACUGGCUUGAUAAAGUUACAUGUCGACCACAUGAUUCCUCUUUAUGGCAGUGUCCAUCUUCACUCUGGGGACAAAAUAACUGUGGUGACAAUGAAGUGGCCAAAAUCAUCUGCUCAGAACAGGAGAGUCAUGAGUCUCCUCGAAGCUCUCUGACAUGCUCCACAUCUCUCCAUCAGAGACAGUGUUCAGAUCAUGUUCCUCUCAGACUGAGUGGAGGGGAGGGCCGGUGCUCUGGGA